rnacentral:rRNA from 1 species
UAGAGUUUGAUCCAUGGCUCAGAUUGAACGCUGGCGGCAGGCCUAACACAUGCAAGUCGAGCGGUAGAGAGAAGCUUGCUUCUCUUGAGAGCGGCGGACGGGUGAGUAAUGCCUAGGAAUCUGCCUGGUAGUGGGGGAUAACGCUCGGAAACGGACGCUAAUACCGCAUACGUCCUACGGGAGAAAGCAGGGGACCUUCGGGCCUUGCGCUAUCAGAUGAGCCUAGGUCGGAUUAGCUAGUUGGUGAGGUAAUGGCUCACCAAGGCGACGAUCCGUAACUGGUCUGAGAGGAUGAUCAGUCACACUGGAACUGAGACACGGUCCAGACUCCUACGGGAGGCAGCAGUGGGGAAUAUUGGACAAUGGGCGAAAGCCUGAUCCAGCCAUGCCGCGUGUGUGAAGAAGGUCUUCGGAUUGUAAAGCACUUUAAGUUGGGAGGAAGGGCAUUAACCUAAUACGUUGGUGUCUUGACGUUACCGACAGAAUAAGCACCGGCUAA